rnacentral:lncRNA from 1 species
AUGAUUGCAUAUUAUCUAGUGCCUGCUGUACUGCUCAGUCUCAUGCGCUGCGUUCUGUUAAGGCAUGCUUUUGCAAUAUAUUUCUUUGACUACGUCUGUCUCCAGUGGAGCCGUGCUACCGAUGCACCUGUACAGAGGCAACUAGACACUGCUUUUGGGAGCUGCCAGUUGAGAGCACCAGGGUUUUCAAGCAAGAGUAGCCUGAUAGAUAAAGUUGUUGGUCUUUCCUUCCUUUUAAGACAGCAAACUUUAACAAGGUCCAUAUGUUUUUAUCCAUCUGAGGAAAGCAAUUUCCAGAUGGAUUUACCCCAAGAUGUUAAUGUUGUGCUGGUUUUAACGCUGAUUGAAGCAAGGUAGCAAGUGGUUAUUACAGACCUGACAUGCCUGUUCUGCCAAGAAACAGCGUGAGCUUUCACCUCAGAAAACAAGAACAGAAGGAAAACAUGGUCUGCCCCCCAGAUAUUUACAAUCUAGGUGGUAGAGGAGCGCCAAGAGGAAAUGGGGGAAACGUCGACCCAAUAUUGGGCAGCACGAAGGCAGCAGAUAUGGUUUUGUCACGGGGUCCAGGUGUCCAGAUCGUAUGUAAGCAAACGCUGUGUGGGCUUCAAAGGAUCUCAGACGAGACGGGAAUACUGUUAUAGCAGAGUUUAAGGCCCAAAUGAAUGAGAGCAUUCCUCUGUAUAGAAGGAAUAAAAUUAUGAAAAAAAAAAAAAAGAGGCA